UAGUCACAGUGGGUGGCAUGUGGGAUCUUAGUUCCUUGAUCAGGGAUUGAAUCCACAUCCCCUGCAUUGGAAGCAUGGAGUCUUAACCGCUGGACUACCAGGGAAACCCCAGAGUGGCCUUCUCUGACACCCUGCCUCUGUUUUACUCUGAUGUCUAACCUUUCCCUCUCUCAGCCCAGUUUCCAUGGAAGGAGGGAGCUGACUAAGAUGAUGACUAAGCCUGGACAUUAUAGGGUUUCGUCUUCCUCAAACCACAUUCCCAAAGUUCUCUGCCUGCCCUGCCAGGAAGAAGAGCCCCAGACUCUUCAGUGAAGAAAGACACCAACAGAGAGAGUGAACUCAGCCCCCCACUACCACAAAUUAUGCAGUUGAGUUUUCUACACUUGGGGAAAUCACAGGGGUCAGCACAUCUGGAGUGCAAUGGAUGAACCACACCCUGGAAAACCACCUUCGUGAUCAUGGCAAGUCCCCUGACAGGUUCAGUCCACACCCUGCCUCCAGGAAGCCCUCACCCUUCCCAGCCUCUCAGGCCUCCAGGGCCUCCCAGCUUCACCUUGCCCGAGGACUUCACACCCUUGAGGAUACAGAGGAACACGAUGACCCAGGCGAGCAGCAGGCAAAGGCAGAGGUUCCAGCGGAUGUGCCCGGGACUUCCGAUGCCCUGGCUUCCUUGGAUGUGGAGGACGUAGCGGCUGUGGGAGACAAGGCCUGAAUGUCCUCUGGUCCCCUUGUCAUGCUCCACAGACACGCAGUGAAGCCGUGGCCAGCCCACAAGCCUAUCCUGGCUGUUCUCUGCUUGAUUCCUCUCCAUCCUUCUAUGAUCAGCUCUGCACCCAGGAGUUGGGCCUCUAGAGACACUAUCACCCAGGCUUCUUCCUCUUCAGUUUCCACAUGGGUCUGGCUAAUGGGAGGCAACAGCAGGAGACUGGAUGAUGGGUUAGGGUAUUUGCGUACAUGUGUGUAUACACGUGUAAGCAUGCACACCUGCACACCAUCAGAGGGUCUGGCUGUGACUGCCUUUUCUACAGCACAGCUGGUUAGGUGGCCCUUCCUCUGAGGCUUUCAAUCUGCCCUGGUUCUGAUAACACUGCCUCCUUGCCUCAGGGGUGAUAUGACUGUCUCUCUUGCUAGCCCUUGGUGCCUCACAUUUUCAUGUGGAUCCCUCACCCCUGUGAAGUCCCUCCACUCACUCAACUCCCUUCAGUGGAGCCCUCUGACAGUGCCAGCUGCUUCCUGCCUGCUCCCCAAGUGAUGCAGCAGGCCAUGGUGUUGCCAUGGAGAACCUAGGCAGCUGCCAGUGACCAUGUCACGUUCUUUGGCUUUUGGUUGCAGACCCAAGCCUGUUCUUCUCCACUGGUCAGGUAUAUUCCUCAGCAGGUGCAGACACUUUAGAUUCAUUUCAAAUGGACAAAUGAAUGAACUAUGUAAUAAAUGCAGGUUGGAGGCUAAAACCUUUAAAAACAUGGGGCUCAUUUGGGAGAAAACUCCUAAGAGUAGCCUUUUGCAGGCAGAGGGGUAUGGUUAUCUGGUCUGUGUCCUCUGUCCAGCCAGUGGUCCCUACCUAGGAACAAGGCUACUCUGGAAUGUUCCAGAACAGGACCAGGCAUCAGGAGGCCUUGGUUCCAGUACUGCCUCUGCUAGUAAGUACUGAGCAAGCCCCCGGGCCUUGUUUUUUCAGCUAUAAAGUGGGACUUUGGGACAGGCCAAUGGGCAGUGAUGCCCUUCUGACCCCCACCACUCACAGGGGCUCGUGAUAUGGCUGGUUCUGAGUUACCCGUGUCAUUCUCAAGCAACCCUAUACUCUCCUUGAGUCUCCUCUCUCCUGUUAGACUAAGCGGAGAUGGUCCGUGUGACCAUGGUCUCUGCUAAGUGUUUUGUCUACUAAUAUAGUCGGCGCUCAAUAAACACAGAUUGAAUGAAUAAACGAGUGACUGACUGACACCAUCCUAUGAAGCAGGGACUCUUACUGCCCCUUAUACAGAAGAGGAAACUGAGGCUCCACAUGUUGACAAUGACUGUUAGCAUCAGCACCAUUACUAUCAGCUAGCAUUUAUUGAGCACUCACUAUCCACCAGGCUGAGCGGCACAAUUUAUAUGCCUUCUUUCCUUUAAUCCUCACAGUAGCCUUCAGAUACUAUCACACCCGAUUCAAAGAUAAGCAUCACAAGCCGAAUAAAUUGUUUACGGUCACACAGCUGGUCAGGUGAAGAACUGGGAUUAGAACUCAGAGUCCAUCCAACACAGCACCUGAACUCAACCUUUGAGGUGCAUGUAGAGCCCCAUAGGAGCACGGGCACAAUCCCGCCCUCUGUCCCUCCCUGCCUGCUGCUGGGCCAGCAGGG